rnacentral:pre_miRNA from 1 species
AUAAUACUCCCUACAUCCCAAAAUUCUUGUCUUAGAUUAGUCUAGAUACAGAUGUAUCUAAUACUAAAACGUGACUUGAUACAUCCAUAUUUAGACAAAUCUAAGACAAGAAUUUUGGGACGAAGGGGAUAUGAU